UUGAGUCUCCAGUCAUUUUGCCAUUUCAGCAACUACUCCCAGUCUUUCCCAGCUGCCAGAAUUCAGCCAUGGCUGCUUCAUCAAGCAUCUCCUCUCCUAGACCGGGACUCGGCCUUGAAGCAUCCUGUGCCCUGGGAAAUCCUGAAGGAACAGCUUUCCUGCACCUCCGACAAGAGACUGAGAGGCAGCAAAAUUCUUCAUCAUUCUACAAUGGCAAACCUGCCUUCAGAUGGAGAAAUGAGAAAAUGGGACCCUG